rnacentral:lncRNA from 1 species
GAUGCAAGAAAAAUUUUGUCCAAUAGAUUAACUCCUGGUCCUUAAUACCUUUGUAGAUCUUAAUUAUCUAUGACUCUGUUGUAGUCAGCAAGUUAAUAGUUUGACAUAAAGGUGCAACAACGAUGUUCUGUUUCAAUACCCGCGUUGGUUGAAAAUCAGUCGGUAAGUCCGACAUGUGCAAAGUACUGAAUCUUGUGUCCAGGGCACUAACAUGGUGCACAUCACACUUCGUCAUCCAAUCGAUACUAACAUAAUCAGUGCUUUCCAAAUCUGUCAAGUAUAUCAAGUACUCCCCCAGACCUCCACAUUGGUACUCCAC